GAGGGAAAAUCUGCACUAUCACCCGAGACUCUGUUGAAAUACAUAGAUGAACUUCCAUUGUGUGCAAGGAAUCAAACAGUUGAUCAUCAGACUCAAAAAAGCAUGUCUGAGGGUUUGUCAGAAUUGGUGACAGUGCAGAAGCUAUGGAGCACUGCAGUUCUGUGCCUAUAUGAAGCUGGAAAGUAUUGCAGAGUGCGACUAUUGGAUUUGUUUUGUGAAGCUCUCAGU